UACGAAGGGGGCUAGCGUUGCUCGGAAUCACUGGGCGUAAAGCGCACGUAGGCGGACUCUUAAGUCGGUGGUGAAAUCCUGGAGCUCAACUCCAGAACUGCCUUCGAUACUGAGAGUCUCGAGUCCGGGAGAGGUGAGUGGAACUGCGAGUGUAGAGGUGAAAUUCGUAGAUAUUCGCAAGAACACCAGUGGCGAAGGCGGCUCACUGGCCCGGUACUGACGCUGAGGUGCGAAGGCGUGGGGAGCAAACAGG
rnacentral:rRNA from 1 species